GUAUUAGAGUUAGCGAUAUGAGUCAAAGAGAAAUAGUUAGUUACUUUAUUUUACAUCGUUUUUAUAGCCAACAUGAAUUAUUAAUUACGAAUUUUGAAUAUCAAUUCAUGAAUUGGAAUUAUGUUAUCCACCGUACUGUACACGUUGUUCGUGUCACUAGUUUUUGCUAAAGACAAUGAAAUAAUUUUACAAAUAAAACCUGAAACUUUAAUUAGCACCAUUAAGUCGUUGAAGAACUCGGGAUAUUUUCAAAAACUAGCUGAUGAAUUUGCGCUUAAAACUGCGGGAGAAUUCAUUAAACAACUCAAAAGGCAGAAAAAGAGUUUUACAAGCACACAAGAACAAUUGGAUGAAUUGCCCAAACGUCAUAAACGUCCAACUUCAAACCAACUGCGUAUGGCAUCAAUAGGUCAAGCGGAACCGCAGCCAAUGAUAUCAGACGGCAAAGUAUCCCACGAAGACGACGUUCAACGGAGAAUUAAAAGUCCAUCCAAACAAAAAGCCAGCGAUAGAGCUUCUUCCGAAGAAAGAAGAAGUGAGCAAGUAAUGUUGACUCUCAUGGAAACGCCCCCUCCGGAUGGAGAUAACUUGGAAAAUGAAUCAGUCCUCACGGAUGUGGAGGAAAAGAAGAUUGAAAAUCCAUUGAGUAUGAAUAAGAUUAAUGGCAAGCAUUUUAGGAGAUAUGAUUUAUUCUGGAAAUAAAAAUCUAUAUUA